CCUACGGGAGGCAGCAGUGGGGAAUAUUGCACAAUGGGCGAAAGCCUGACGCAGCGACGCCGCGUGAAGGAUGAAGGUCUUCGGAUCGUAAACCUCUGUCAGCAGGGAAGAACAGUAGCUAUGGUAAUUGGUUGUGAAUUGACGGUACCUGCAAAGAAAGCGAUGGCUAACUGCGUGCCAGCAGCCGCGGUAAUACGAGGGGUGCGAGCGUUAAUCGGAAUUACUGGGGGUAAAGCGCUCGUAGGCGGUAUGUCAAGUCAAGGGUGAACUCCCCGGGCUCAAACCGCGAACUGCCUUUGAAACUGGCAAACUGGAGUGUGUGAGAGGAGAGCGGAAUGCCAGGUGAAGGGGUGAAAUGCGUAGAUAUCUGGAGGAACACCAAUGGCGAAGGCAGCUUACUGGCACAUAACUGACGCUGAGGGGCGAAAGCGUGGGUAGCAAACAGGAUUAGAUACCCCUGUAGUC
rnacentral:rRNA from 1 species